ensembl:lncRNA
CCAUAAAGCAAGGAAGUAUGUUUCUGAGUGACAUCACAGCUAGUUUGUGCAUGUUGUCUCUAGGUAUCUCUGAAGACAUUUGUAUUUGCUGUCUUGAGUGGGAAUAAGAUAGGAUACCUUCAAUUUACUGCAGAAUAUGAACAUUCAUAGUGACAAUUACCACAGAGUAGCUAAAAAGUGUAAACUGCACUCUGACUACCUUGCAAUAAUUAAUUCAGACAUACUCUUCUAAGUAAAGGCUGCCAAGAUGUCACCCCAUUGCUCCACUGUGUGGUCUGAGAGCCUUUCACCCUCAGGACUCAGUGCCUGUUCAGCCUUCAACCUCUGUCUGGUUCCAGCCCUUAGCUGGGAUUUCCAUAACCAUUCCAUGUUGGAAAAUCCUUAGCCCUCCUUAGGAGGUAGUGGGCUCCAGUUUAGCUGCCACCAGAGCAAGCAUUCUACACCACUUACCUUGGAAAGAAAUAUUCCAGUUAUGCGAGCAUUGUAAUAAAUACAACGAGUUCACAUUUUCAUAAUCUCACUGACUUAAUGAUCUCGAGACCUACUACCAUUAUACCCUACCUCUUUGCAGGAAGCUCUGUUUUGUUACUUUCUCCAAGGCAGCUCUAUUUUCAGUUUGAUAUGCCUUCAAAAGCAAAACCUUUGGAAUACGUUUCUUUUACUUAUGAAAACUUGUGCAGUUCCCUCCUUUUUUCCCUUUAAAAGUCUAGUCACUGAAGGUCUGUGGAGCUCAGAAAUAUUCAUCCACCUAUGCUCCUGGGUGAUGGGUUGCUAUUAUAGCUAAGCAGUGUGUUCUGUGUUGGAAGAAGAUACCCUUUUCUGUAUUUCUCUUUCUGUGACUCAUGAAUAACAUCUUCAGAGAGGAUAAUGUGUGCUUUUCAACAGAACUGCCUGUUAAAGUCCUCAUCCUCUGAACUGCAUAAAUGGAUUACUUUGGUUAAUAUGAGCACAUGGAGUGUAAUCUGAUAACCGACAGAAAAAUAGGGCUCAAAUAGAAAAUACAAAUAGUCCACAUGGGGAAGAAAGUAAUACUUGUCUUAGAAUUGUCUCACAGCUCUUAGGAUUUUAGUUUUUUAUUUUUUUAAGGUUUUAAUGUAAUGAGAGGAGCUGGGGGUUUAUUUAAAUCCUGAAGAAAUGUAUUAGGUUGUAUUGAAGGAUGCUGUGCACAAAACUGAUUUGCAGAAUUGCACUGAGGCUACCGAGAAGAUAUGUUAUCCAGGCACGUAUUUAAUAUAUAUGGUAACACAAAGGAAGAGGAAAAAAACAUACCAUGAAUGGAAAAAAUCCCAUCUCAGCAGCAGGCGUUUGUAGCCAUCCCUGAGAUAAGCGGAGUGAUGGGACGGGGCCAUGUGAUGGCCCUCUGCCUGGCUGGCUAAAAAUAAGCAGUGUGCACACUUCAUAUGCAUCUCUCCCUGUAGUGGGUGGGAGGACUGGAAAAUCUACACAGGAGCAGAUGCUCCACCCUUGUGCUUUUCACAGCGACUGCCAGUUUCUUCUCCCUGCCCUUCUCUGAGGGAAGAUACACAUGAGAGGAAGGCUGCGUUUGGUUCUUAAUCCCUGUAUAAUGGCAGCAACUCUGGGGAUGGAGCUGAGAAUUAGUGGUUCUUCUAAAAUAAUGUUAUUUAUCAGCAUUUAAUUGUUUUUAAAGGUAAUUGAUUCAGGCUUUAAUGUCAAACGCUGCACCCUCAAAAACCAACCAAACAAAACGUCUCAAAGAGUAUUUUACAGAUUUAUUCACACACAGUAAAAUAAGAAAUCAGGUAUCUCAUGGCUUAUUGAAGUAAUUUCUCAUAUUUUGGCAAGAAUCUUGCCAAGAAAAAGAAAAUUUUCCCCCUUCCUUUCCCCCUCUUCCUUUUCUGUUCCCUCUUCUGGUCAAAGAGUGUUUAUUGAUAGUUGUCCCACUGAAGGUCGCUGAGUUUGUUUGGUUUUUUUUCCCCCACUUGUUUGCAAACAAUCUCAUAUGCCUUUAAGAUGAUGAUCUGUGGUGAAAACUUGCUGACCCAUUACUGUAGGAAUACAGUAGAAGUAUUUUAGCCACAUAUUCUGAGGGCUCUGAAGCAAAUAUUUUGCCUUUGAACAAACAUUUGAAAUGCAAGUCAGAAACAUUAGGGGUUUAUGCACUGGUAGGUGGAUUCAAUGGCCUUGAGACACAUUGUGAGGUUGAUUCCUCUCCUAAACUAAAUCAAGUGAAACCCCUCUCAUGGCAGACAUAUUGCAGCAAUGCAAAAUAAGCAUGAAAGUAGGACUAAGCGCAGAGACUUUCUGCAGGGUGCUUCCUCUUACUUGUUCAUUUCUUCCAUGUGUGAGGUACACAGACACCAGGUGCAGUACCAGUAGGACAUCUGUCAUGACAGCAGAAGGGGAAGCAGGGAAGGACCUCUCUAGGCAUUUACUCUGCCCGACAAAUGCAGAUCUCUGGGUACAUAUUCUUAUUUCAGAUAUGCAUUAUAAAUGUCCAAAGUAUAUGUUAAAGGCUGCAAGUUGUAACCAUAAUAAAGAACUUUAAAAAUAAACAUUUUGUGGUCUCACAUAGUGACAAAUACAUACAGUCUGCAUGUAGGACAUCAAUAAUGUUUUUAUCUUGCUUCCAUAGGAAUGACCAUUAAUAUAUAGUCUCGUUAUGUGGUUAUAUUCAAUAACUAAAUUGAAAUUUAUGCAGAAGGUCACCAUUUUUUUAAUUCUCUUCUCCGUUUUAAGUUUUUCAGUAUAACCUUUCUUCAAAUCCAUUGUGUCUUUCAUAUCCCUUUUCCUCUCAUCAUUCUAAUCCAUCUAUAAAAGACAUGAAAGUCCCUAUUUUUCUCAUCCACAAAGUCACUGAGCCAAUGGUGUCCUGGGGUUUCUCAUACCAUCUUUGCAUUGUGAUAAAGUUCUUCUACUUCCUUGUGUUUUGGAGCCUUUUUCUGCCCUCAAAUCCUCCUCUUAACAUUUGUGCAGAUUGCCAUGCUGCUCUUCCCUUUGUGCUUGUGUCAGAUAGAGUCUGCUGUCCAAGCAAUUGUUCUCACUCCCACUCUGAGACCACUGUCCUUCCUAAUUUUGAAGGAAGCCUUGACCAGUAAGAAAGGGAAGCACUCAUUCAGAUGAGUGGUAGGCUUCCCAAAGCCUCUGUGCAGUACCUGUUAGUGAAAGUGACUCACAGUAACAGAUCUGCUUUGUGGAACAGAGCCAGAGACAGAAAGAUGUCCUGGCUAACUUGGCAAAAUGGACUCUGUAGGGGAAAGAUAAACUGGUUUUUCUUGGUGGUGGUGAAGUUUUUGUUAAAUAACAUUUAGAAAAGGUAGAACCUCUGUCAGGUUUUGAGCCAAUCUUCAUUUCCUAUUGCUUUAAUUGCAUUUCUUCACUCAUCUGGCAUCUCUUAGGAACGAUGUGAUGAUGAUACCACUGUCUGUUGUAGCUAUAUUAAGGAGGUGUUUCUUCCAAAAUGAUAAGAAGUGAUGUCAUUCCCACAGUAGAAUUGUCACUGAGCUUUAGGAUUGCUGUGGUGACUCAGGGCAAAGCAUUCCAGCAAAGCUGUCAGCUCAGACUCAGCGAAGACUCAGGCAAAUAACACCACAAUCUUUUCAGUUUGUGUGCCAGGGAUUAAUACAGAAACAUGAAGAAUUUGAUAUACGUGAAUAAAUCGGGAUCUGUUCUGUGGAAAUUCUGCGUUCCAGAGGGACAAAUCAGAACAGUGGCAGUGAGGAGAAAGGCAGUGUGACGAUCCACAGGACUGGAAAAGCACGGCGCACAGUGAGGGGUGUAGUUACACCACAUGGUGAAGUAUGGUACAGAAAUAACUGAGCUAACUGCAACUGAGCUGAUCCAAAAGUGAAUCAGGACAGUGACGAUAGCUUGGUGUUGAAUGUUGAGGAAAACUGGCUGCCUUGGUGACGGGGCUUAUCGGCUCGAGAGGAAUGUGCCAGCACAUCUAUAUGGCUCCUAGACCCAGGGGCAUCCUGGCAGGCUGUUCCAGUCUUCUUGGACCUCCUUACAUUGCCUACCACGCUGUAAGACAGGCGUUCCAUAGAAGAGUUCAACUUGAUUAGCCAGGCAAAAGGAAUAUUAACAGAGUGAAUGAUUUCAUUCUUUCAAUAUACCACGAGCAAGAUAAAAGCUCUGUUUUAAUCUUAGGAACAGUUCUGGUAAAAGAGCAUGAGUGAUAGACGGACUAGGAAUGCACUGAGCCUAGAAAUCAGAAAGAAUUUUCUACAAGGGCAAGGACUGUUUUCUACAUUAAUUUUGGGAAUUUUCUACAAGGGCAGCUUUGGGACUGCCAUCUGAUUGAGUAGUUAUUAAAGGGGAUUUGGUCCAUUUCUGAAAAGGGUUCAGUGAUACAUGAGAGUGGAUCGUUCACAGUGGUUCUGGAGUUCCCUUCUAUCCCUAUGUCCCAAAAUUCUGCCGUCCUGUUCAAGUGGCAGUCAGCAACAAAUUCAACCAGAUGAAAAAUCGAUCUGACCUAGCACCCUGCUUGAAUAAGCGGAUUCUUAUUUUGUAAGAUGAGUUAAAAUUGUAAGGAG